rnacentral:rRNA from 1 species
CGGAGGGUGCAAGCGUUAUCCGGAUUCACUGGGUUUAAAGGGUGCGUAGGUGGGCAAGUAAGUCAGUGGUGAAAUCUCCGGGCUUAACCCGGAAACUGCCAUUGAUACUAUUUGUCUUGAAUACUGUGGAGGUCAGCGGAAUAUGUCAUGUAGCGGUGAAAUGCUUAGAUAUGACAUAGAACACCAAUUGCGAAGGCAGCUGGCUACACAAAUAUUGACACUGAGGCACGAAAGCGUGGGGAUCAAACAGGAUUAGAUACCCUGGUAGUCCACGCCCUAAACUAUGGAUACUCGACAUUUGCGAUAAAACUGCGAGUGUCUGAGCGAAAGCAUUAAGUAUCCCACUGGGAAGUACGAUCGCAAGAUUG